rnacentral:rRNA from 1 species
AAUGAACGCUGGCGGCGCGCCUAAUACAUGCAAGUCGAGCGAGAAGACGUAGCAAUACGUUUGUAAAGCGGCGAACGGGUGAGGAAUACAUGGGUAACCUACCCUAGAGUGGGGAAUAACUAGCCGAAAGGUUAGCUAAUACCGCGUACGCUCCUUGGACUUCGGUUCAGGGAGGAAAGCGAUGCCGAGGGUAUCGCGCUCUUGGAUGGGCUCAUGUCCUAUCAGCUUGNGGUGGGGUAACGGCUCACCAAGGCUUCGACGGGUAGCUGGUCUGAGAGGACGAUCAGCCACACUGGCACUGCGACACGGGCCAGACUCCUACGGGAGGCAGCAGUAAGGAAUAUUGCGCAAUGGGCGAAAGCCUGACGCAGCGACGCCGCGGUGGGGGGAUGGAC